GCACCACAAGGGGUGAAGCCUGCGGUUCAAUUGGACUCAACGCCGGAAAACUUACCAGGGGAGACAGCAGUAUGACAGUCAGGUUGACGACCUUACCUAACGAGCUGAGAGGAGGUGCAUGGCCGUCGCCAGUUCGUGCCGUGAGGUAUCCUGUUAAGUCAGGCAACGAACGAGAUCCGCACCUUUAUUUGCCAACAAGAAGUCACGACUUCGUUGGGAACACUAAAGGGACCGCCGUCGAUAAGACGGAGGAAGGAGCGGGCAAAGGCAGGUCAGUAUGCCCCGAAACCCCUGGGCUACACGCGGGCUGCAAUGGUAUGAACAAUGGGCUGUGACUCCGAGAGGAGAAACCAAUCCCGAAAUCAUAUCUCAGUUGGAAUUGUCGGCUGUAACCCGCGGACAUGAACGCGGAAUCCCUAGUAAUCGUGUGUCAUCAUCGCACGGUGAAUACGUCUCUGCUCCUUGCACACACCGCCCGUCGCUCCAUCCGAGUGUGCUAAAAAUGAGGUUUGGUCAGUCUGGUCAUAUCGAGUUUCUAGUAUGCGAGGAGGGAG
rnacentral:rRNA from 1 species